AUACUCUGGUUGCUCUUCAGAGUGUAUAAAUAUUACGCCUUUUACUAAAGAUUUCAGUAGAGAAGAACAGUUAUGAGUUUUUGAUCAAUUUUUUGAGGUUCUACUUUGGUAGGGCU